UACGUAGGGGGCAAGCGUUGUCCGGAUUCAUUGGGCGUAAAGAGCGUGUAGGCGGCCAGGUAGGUCGGUUGUGAAAACUGGAGGCUCAACCUUCAGACGUCGACCGAAACCAUCUGGCUAGAGUCCGGGAGAGGAGAGUGGAAUUCCUGGUGUAGCGGUGAAAUGCGCAGAUAUCAGGAAGAACACCCGUGGCGAAAGCGGCUCUCUGGACCGGUACUGACGCUGAUGCGCGAAAGCGUGGGAGCAAACGGG
rnacentral:rRNA from 1 species